UUAGUAUAAACCUACCAUUGGAUGGCUCGGUUCAAGUGCCGAUGAAGGGCGUGCUAAGCUGCGAUAA
rnacentral:rRNA from 1 species